rnacentral:rRNA from 1 species
UGCAGUCGAACGGCAGCACGGAGCUUGCUCUGGUGGCGAGUGGCGAACGGGUGAGUAAUAUAUCGGAACGUACCCUGGAGUGGGGGAUAACGUAGCGAAAGUUACGCUAAUACCGCAUACGAUCUACGGAUGAAAGUGGGGGAUCGCAAGACCUCAUGCCCGUGGAGCGGCCGAUAUCUGAUUAGCUAGUUGGUAGGGUAAAAGCCUACCAAGGCAUCGAUCAGUAGCUGGUCUGAGAGGACGACCAGCCACACUGGAACUGAGACGCGGUCCAGACUCCUACGGGAGGCAGCAGUGGGGAAUUUUGGACAAUGGGCGAAAGCCUGAUCCAGCAAUGCCGCGUGAGUGAAGAAGGCCUUCGGGUUGUAAAGCUCUUUUGUCAGGGAAGAAACGGUGAGAGCUAAUAUCUCUUGCCAAUGACGGUACCUGAAGAAUAAGCGCCGGCUAACUACGUGCCAGCAGCCGCGGUAAUACGUAGGGUGCAAGCGUUAAUCGGAAUUACUGGGCGUAAAGCGUGCGCAGGCGGUUUUGUAAGUCUGAUGUGAAAUCCCCGGGCUCAACCUGGGAAUUGCAUUGGAGACUGCAAGGCUAGAAUCUGGCAGAGGGGGGUAGAAUUCCACGUGUAGCAGUGAAAUGCGUAGAUAUGUGGAGGAACACCGAUGGCGAAGGCAGCCCCCUGGGUCAAGAUUGACGCUCAUGCACGAAAGCGUGGGGAGCAAACAGGAUUAGAUACCCUGGUAGUCCACGCCCUAAACGAUGUCUACUAGUUGUCGGGUCUUAAUUGACUUGGUAACGCAGCUAACGCGUGAAGUAGACCGCCU